UACGUAGGGUGCGAGCGUUAAUCGGAAUUACUGGGCGUAAAGCGUGCGUAGGCGGUUGGCAAAGUCAGCUGUGAAAGCCCCGGGCUUAACCUGGGAAUGGCGGUUGAAACUAGUCGACUCGAAUCUGGCAGAGGGGGGUGGAAUUCCACGUGUAGCAGUGAAAUGCGUAGAGAUGUGGAGGAACACCGAUGGCGAAGGCAGCCCCCUGGGCUGAGAUUGACGCUCAGGCACGAAAGCGUGGGGAGCAAAC
rnacentral:rRNA from 1 species